CUAAUUUGCACAUCAGGACCACUGUGGACCAUGGGGCAAUGAAGGUGAAGACUGGAGCACUCAUCACCCAAGGUGGCAUCCCAAAGCCUCUCCAGUCUACUGAAGGAAUACCCCCAGUUUACCAUGGGUCUGUAUCUCCUGUCAUGCUGGGGAGGUGAAGCAUGAGCACACGUGUUAGGAAUAAAAAGAUGGUGAACUAUGCCUGGGCAAGACGAAGCCAGAGGAAACUGGUGGAGGUCCACAAUGGUCCUGAUGGGCAAAUUGAUUGUCCAACCUGGAUAUAGGGAUGAAAGACUAAUUGAACCAUCUAGUAGCUGG
rfam:Chlorocebus sabaeus isolate 1994-021 chromosome 8, whole genome shotgun sequence.